rnacentral:rRNA from 1 species
AAAAUAAAUGGUAGGGGAGCUGGAGGCAUAACAGGUCUGUGAUGCCCUUAGAUGUUCUGGGCUGCACGCGCGCGACACUGAUCUAUUCAACGAGCGUAUGGGAUCAAUAAAUUUGGGGAAUCUUUUGAAAAUAAAUCGGGCGGGGAAUGGAGGCUUGAAAUUUUCCUUCAGGAACAAGGAAUUCCAAUUAAACCCAAGCCAUCACCUUGCUUUGAUUACUUCCCGGCCCUUUGAACACCCCGCCCGCCGCACCUACCAAUUGAAGGGCCCAAUAAACCCUUUGAAUUUAAUAAAA